CGAUUCCCUACGGGGUGCAGCAGGCGCGCAAACUUUACAAUGCGAGCAAUCGUGAUAAGGAAACCCUGAGUGCCUGUCGAUGCAGGCUGUUCAUAUAUCUAAAUCAUAUGUGAAGAAAGGGCAGGGCAAGACCGGUGCCAGCCGCCGCGGUAAUACCGGCUGCUCGAGUGAUGGCCACUAUUACUGGGUUUAAAGCGUCCGUAGCUUGACUGUUAGGUCUCUUGGGAAAUCUUCACGCUCAACGUGAAGGCGUCUAAGAGAUACCGGCAGUCUUGGAACUGGGAGAGGUAAACCGUACUUCGGGGGUAGGAGUGAAAUCUUGUAAUCCUCGAGGGACGACCUAUGGCGAAGGCAGUUUACCAGAACAGCUUCGACAGUGAGGGACGAAAGCUGGGGGAGCAAACGGGAUUAGAUACCCCGGUAGUCCCAGCCGUAAACAAUGUGCGUUAGGUGUGUCGGUAACCACGUGUUACUGAUGCGCCGAAGAGAAAUCGUGAAACGCACCACCUGGGAAGUACGGUCGCAAGGCUGAAACUUAAAGGAAUUGGCGGGGGAGCACCACAACAGGUGGAGCCUGCGGUUUAAUUGGAUUCAACGCCGGACAUCUCACCGGAUAAGACAGCUGAAUGAUUGUCAAUCUGAAGGUUUUACAUGACUAGCUGAGAAGAG
rnacentral:rRNA from 1 species